GUAGGUGGCAAGCGUUGUCCGGGAAUUAUUGGGGCGUAAAGCGCGCGCAGGCGGUUCUUUAAGUCUGAUGUGAAAGCCCACGGGCUCAACCGUGGAGGGUCAUUGGAAACUGGAGAACUUGAGUACAGAAGAGGAAAGCGGAAUUCCACGUGUAGCGGUGAAAUGCGUAGAGAUAUGGAGGAACACCAGUGGCGAAGGCGGCUUUCUGGUCUGUAACUGACGCUGAGGCGCGAAAGCGUGGGGAGCAAACAGGAUUAGAUACCCUGGUAGUCCACGCCGUAAACGAUGAGUGCUAAGUGUUAGGGGGUUUCCGCCCCUUAGUGCUGCAGCUAACGCAUUAAGCACUCCGCCUGGGGAGUACGGCCGCAAAGGCUG
rnacentral:rRNA from 1 species